rnacentral:rRNA from 1 species
UACGUAGGGUGCAAGCGUUAUCCGGAAUUAUUGGGCGUAAAGAGCUCGUAGGCGGUUUGUCGCGUCUGCUGUGAAAACUGGAGGCUCAACCUCCAGCCUGCAGUGGGUACGGGCAGACUAGAGUGCGGUAGGGGAGAUUGGAAUUCCUGGUGUAGCGGUGGAAUGCGCAGAUAUCAGGAGGAACACCGGUGGCGAAGGCGGGUCUCUGGGCCGAUACUGACGCUGAGGAGCGAAAGCAUGGGUAGCGAACAGG